rnacentral:rRNA from 1 species
AUUGAACGCUGGCGGCAGGCCUAACACAUGCAAGUCGAGCGGAUGAAGGGAGCUUGCUCCUGGAUUCAGCGGCGGACGGGUGAGUAAUGCCUAGGAAUCUGCCUGGUAGUGGGGGAUAACGUCCGGAAACGGGCGCUAAUACCGCAUACGUCCUGAGGGAGAAAGUGGGGGAUCUUCGGACCUCACGCUAUCAGAUGAGCCUAGGUCGGAUUAGCUAGUUGGUGGGGUAAAGGCCUACCAAGGCGACGAUCCGUAACUGGUCUGAGAGGAUGAUCAGUCACACUGGAACUGAGACACGGUCCAGACUCCUACGGGAGGCAGCAGUGGGGAAUAUUGGACAAUGGGCGAAAGCCUGAUCCAGACAUGCCGCGUGUGUGAAGAAGGUCUUCGGAUUGUAAAGCUCUUUAAGUUGGGAGGAAGGGCAGUAAGUUAAUACCUUGCUGUUUUGACGUUACCAACAGAAUAAGCACCGGCUAACUUCGUG